rnacentral:rRNA from 1 species
AAUAUUUGACAAUGGGGGCAACACUGAUCCAGCCAUGUCGCGUGUGUGAAUAAGGUCUUCGGAUUGUAAAGAACUUUAAGUUUGGAGGAAGGGAUUUAGGUUAAUACCCUGAAGUUUUGACGUUACUUACAGAAUAUGUACCGGCUAACUCUGUUCCAGCAGCCGCGGUUAUACAGAGGGUGCAAGCGUUAAUCGGAAUUACUGGGCGUAAAGCGCGCGUAGGUGGUUCAGUAAGAUGGGUGUGAACUCCCCGGGCUUAACCUGGGAACUGCUUUCAUAACUGCUGAGCUAGAGUACGGUAGAGGGUAGUAGAAUUUCCUGUGUAGCGGUGAAAUGCGUAGAUAUAGGAAGGAACACCAGUGGCGAAGGCGACUACCUGGACUGAUACUGACACUGAGGUGCGAAAGCGUGGAGAGCAAAC